CUAGAAAGGAGUACUGGAGUGGGUUGCCACUCCCUUCUCCAAGAGAUCUCGACCUAGGGACUGAACACAUCUCCUGCAUCGGCAAGUGGCUUCUUUACCACUGAGCCGCCUGGGAAGCCCUACUGUAGGUAGUAAGAUCAUGCUAAGAACGAUAGUGACAACAUAGUGCAAACUAUAGUGAAGACAAGACAACAUUUGUAAAGAAAUUCGUGUGUUUUUCAAUGAAAAAGAAUGAUGCUAAAGCUGAAACUCCAGUACUUUGGCCACCUCAUGCGAAGAGCUGACUCAUUGGAAAAGACUCUGAUGCUUGGAGGGAUUGGGGCCAGGAGGAAAAGGGGACGACAGAGGAUGAGAUGGCUGGAUGGCAUCACCAACGCGAUGGACUUCUCCAACAAUGUGUCUGCUGCUGCUGCUAAGUCGCGUCAGUCAUAUCCGACUGUGUGUGACCCCAUAGAUGGCAGCCCACCAGGCUCCUCCAUCCCUCGGUUUCUCCAGGCAAGAACACUGGAGUGGGUUGCCAUUUCCUUCUCCAAUGCAUGAAAGUGAAAAGUGAAAGUGAUGUCGUUCAGUCGUGUCCAACUCUUAGCGACCCCAUUGACCAUAGCCUACCAGGCUUUUCCUUCCAUGAGAUUCUCCAGGCAAGAGUACUGGAGUGGGUUGCCAUUGCCUUCUCCGAACAAUGUGUCUAAGUGUAUAUUUAUUUUCAUUUGGGUCCCCUUAUGCUUUCAGAAUCUGAUGAUUCAUAUCUUUCAUCUAUUCUGGAAAAUUCUUAGCUCUUAAUUCUUUGAAUAUUGUGUCUCUAUGAUGAUCUCUACUCUCUCUUUCUGGUAUUCCAGAU
ensembl:lncRNA